UAAACUUGGAGUAUUCCUGAGGCAAAAUACAGCCAUUGGAUACACUUGUAGAGUGUUCAAGUUACAGAUACAUCGAAAUUCACUCUGCAAGGUGAAACAAGUGCUAAGCAGAGAUAUUGUCUACGUGGUGUAACCGAAGAUGGAAAAGAAAAUAUCUGAGAGGUCUUGCGAUAACUGAUAAAGAUGAAUGGCGGAAGGAGAGAAAGAGUGUAUCUCUUCUGGAAGAUAAAUAUUGAUUAAAGAGGGCAUAGUGUUGUCUCACAGGGCCAUUCUCCGGCGGGAUUCAAUGAAGACCUAGAGGAAUAAAAAUUGGGAAGGAUCGGAACUACGUUCUUUACUCCUCGGAAGAUAAAAUUCUAUUGGGAAUUCCAAGCUAGGGAAGAACACACAAAAGAGUGACGAGAGAAUAAUCCAAUGGAAAUGAUGUACACCAGUGACACCGCAGCCAGAGCAGCCAUGAUAAUUCCAAAAUCAUUCGAACAGCAGAGAAUAUACAUAUAUAUCAGCGGAAGCCGUCUCGGGAGAACGUUAAUAGACAGCUCGAGGCGUCGCGACACUCGAUUCUGUGGCGAUUCUGGAGCCGCAAUACAGUUUGUCAGAGAAAAAGGAAAAAACAUGUUUGGGAAAAAGUCGAGUAAACAACAAUAAGAGGGAUGAGGGUAGUGUACAGAACAGAUAGCAAAACGAGACGACAGUAAAUGACGGCAAUCGUAUCGUGCGUCUCGCCUUGCCGGAUGUUCCAACGCGACAGAACAGGGCUCGUGCAAAAGGAAGAACUCUCCCUGCACAAUAAAACUAACGCCUUCAACACUAUGAAUGCACUUGAUUUACAUGACAGGAGAAUUAAUCAUUAAAAACGCCGUCAAAACUGAAGAUGAGUAAGAAUUAUGGUACAAUAAAAAAAAACCACAUAAAUCUCGACGGAUUGAAAACUGCAAGUCGAAUUAAAUGAGAAAUAAUACUUUGAAUUCCUUCCAGAGCCAUUCUAUAAUUCCCUUCAACAUCCAAGGCUGACAAUUUUUUGUGAAAUCUUACACAAUGCAUUAUGUUGAAAAUCCCUCGAAGUCGUUUUCUAUUCUUAAAGUUUAAUUCAAUGGAGCGCUGCAUCGAACGUUAUACUUCGUCCGUAAUAAAGGCAUUAUUUUUGAGAAUCUAUUUGGAAUUUAUUUCGUCUUCGAACCUCGAACAAUAAUGGAGAAAAAAUAUAAACAAAGUUUGACUGGAAGAGACAGAAAUAAGUUCUCCCCUCAGCACAACUCACGAAGAAAAAAGUGAGAUAAUGUAAAAAAUCAGAAGUAUUGAUUCAAUAAUGAAUAGCCCGACGGAAAAACUUUUGUUGGACUCAAAAUGGGGAAUAAAGUAUUCUCUCGUGAAAAAGUUGGUACAACGGCACACUAUUCCAAAAGUAAAGGGCGUGAAAAAAAAAUUGUCUGGCAAAAAUUCUCCAGACGCUACAAUAUUACUGGUUUCAAAAUCUGAAGAAAGGGUACAGUGGCUGGUGCGACGCAGACGUACGAUAAAAAAUUGGAUAAGGGCACAGAGGUUGGGCUCGUGGGAGGAUAGACUGUUAUAUGCCGACUGGACGUGACCUUUUGGAAUCAAAAAGCACUGCUGAAAACCCACGAUUCACAAAAAAAAAAACAUAUAUAUGUAUCAUCAAAUGUAAUAAAUUGCCAAUACGCGUUUUCCCAGACAAAGGAAAUAUUCUACACUGAAAUUUCAUUUGCACACCCCAGUUUAUUCGGAAAUACGAUUGACUGACAGGAAACAAGUGAAUGCAACAAGAAAGGGUAGAAAAAAAAAUGAAACCAAUGAUAAAAACUCGGAUUCGGCAAACUAGUAGGAGUAAGGUAUUUGUAAUUUUCAUGAAAACCGAAUCGGCGAGGCGUAACGUGGUGGCCGCUAUCGAUUUUGUGUAAUCCCCCUGAACUCGUCCCUCUUCACUCCACCCUCUACAACCCCUUCAUCUCUUUCAUGCCUUCCACUAAGCGUGGUUUUCAGGGAUAAGUGCAUAAGCAUAUAUCGCCGACUAAUUUUUAUCUUUAAAAAACAAAUUGCCGUUUUGCGGGCAUUCUCCACCCAAUUUUGUCAUAUUACAUGAGCAAUAUUGCAAAUAUGGAGAGAUCAUACAUUUUUUUUCAUAGAAUUUAAAACGAAUGAUAUGAUAUGCUUCUGGGAUGAGCAGAAAAAAAAUCUAUUGAAAUAUUAACGAGUAAAAGGAGAAAUAACAAAACGAUAGAAUUUCAAUUUCUGGAGUAGAUAAAGUUUCAUUUGUGGAUUGAAGGGGAAGGGGGUACCAGUUGUGAAUAAUGUAAAUGGUGCAAACGAGAAAGAGACAAGUAUUUAAUUAAAUGCAAUUGGCCUGAGUGAUGCCCCGGGUUCUUUUUAAUCCAACGAUUGGAUCGCACAUGGCAGAGCAUCCAGGUUAACUCCUUUAUUUUUUUCAAUUACUCUUCCAACCUUAUAAAACUUGCAUUGUAGAGUAGUGAAAAUACAUUGUAGAGCUGGAUACCACAUCCGAUUGAAAAUAAAAACCAUAAUAAGAGGAGUGAAAUUGGGUUCACUGCCCUGAAUUCGUUUUUCAGACUGGUUUUAAUAACAGAUGGUGUAACAUCAUUAGAUCCGAGUUCAGUGGAAUCCGUAAAUUAUUCAAUACUCAAGAAUGUGAUACACCUGAUGAAAGUUUAAUAAU